rnacentral:lncRNA from 1 species
AUGGGGGCCAGCAGUUCAGCCAAAGAUGAGUUUAGAUGAAAUGCCAGAUAGAUGUCAAUUCUGAAGCGCAGAGAUCUGGACUGCAGGUAAGAAUGAAAUCGCUGGUGUGUAGAUGGUGUUUACUACUGUGACAUGGUUAAAUCUAGAAAAUAAGGGUAGAGAAGAAAUGGGGCUAGUACAGUUAGAAACAAAGGCACUGAGUGAGUCACUCUCUUUCCCCAUCUAACCCUAAACACCACCCAAUAGUUAUUCCUGCUUCCAUCAUCCUGAGAGAUUAAAUAAAUAAAUAAAUAAAAGCCUGAAUUGAUGAGAUCACAGGCACCAGAGCACUGGCACCAUGGGAGAUUCAGUGGGAGGCAUCAGAAAGCAGAGAUAUCUAUCUUUUAAAUUCUGAAAACUUGAGUUAUCAGCCCCUUUUCUCCUUUUUCCUGUUGCUGUUGCUACCUUUCCCAUGACCUUCAAUAAACAUAGCUCCUUACUACUUGGCAAUUCUUUCUUCACUGUACACAAGCACUAUUAUUGGUCCAUUCAACUGUAACAUCUGGCAAGCCAGGCAGGAGGACAUCAAACCUCGGAAGACCUCACUGGACAAAGAGUGAAGGGACAUUAUUGUACAGCAGUCCAUGACCUCACCAGACAUUGGAAGGAUCAGCAGCUCAGACCUUCGGAGAUAGCAGAAGUGAGCAACCAGCAACCCAGGCAGCAAGGAAGACUCCAUGAUGUGGCAUGGGAAAUAUCCUGCAGAUCCCGCCAACCUCACCAUUAGGCUGAAUCCUAAUGUAUCCUUAAAAACCAAAAACAAUUUAAUCCUGAGAAUCUGAGGGAAAACCCCACAUUUAUUUUCUGAUGCAAUGCUGUUUGGAUUCAGUAUGAACUAGGAAAUGGUGAGAGAUGGAUACAGAAUGGCAGUCUAAAUUACUAUUCUUCUAGGUGAGCUGGUCCCAGCACCCGGAAGGAAGCUCCCCUGCUGUCAUCCCAAGCUCCUAGGGCACAGAAGUUGAGCCGCGUGGGCGCCAGAAGCCCCCCCCCCCCCCGCAGAAAUGAG